rnacentral:rRNA from 1 species
GACGAACGCUGGCGGCGCGCCUAACACAUGCAAGUCGAACGAGCGAGAGAGAGCUUGCUUUCUUGAGCGAGUGGCGAACGGGUGAGUAACGCGUGAGGAACCUGCCUCAUAGAGGGGGACAACAGUUGGAAACGACUGCUAAUACCGCAUAAGCCCACGACCCCGCAUCGGGUGGAGGGAAAAGGAGCAAUCCGCUUUGAGAUGGACUCGCUCCCGAUUAGCUAGUUGGGGAGGUAACGGCACACCAAGGCGACGCAAGGUAGCCGGGCUGAGAGGUAGAGCCGCCACAUUUGGACUGAGACGCAGCCCGGACUCUUCCGGGAGGGAGCAGUGGCUGACAUUGCACAGUGGGGGAAACCAUGAUGCAGCGACGACGCGUGGAGGAAGAAGGUCUUCGGAUUGAAAACUGCUGUUGUUGAGGAAGAUAUUGACGGUACUCAACAAGAAAGUGACGGCUAACUACGUG